rnacentral:rRNA from 1 species
UACGUAGGGUGCAAGCGUUAAUCGGAAUUACUGGGCGUAAAGCGUGCGCAGGCGGCUUUGCAAGACAGAUGUGAAAUCCCCGGGCUUAACCUGGGAAUUGCGCUCGAAACUACUUGGCUGGAGUGUGGCAGAGGAAGGUGGAAUUCCAGGUGUAGCGGUGAAAUGCGUAGAGAUCUGGAGGAACACCGGUGGCGAAGGCGGAUCUCUGGGCCGUAACUGACGCUGAGGAGCGAAAGCAUGGGGAGCGAACAGG